CAGCAGCCGCGGUAAUACGAAGGGGGCUAGCGUUGUUCGGAAUUACUGGGCGUAAAGCGCACGUAGGCGGAUAUUUAGGUCAGGGGUGAAAUCCCAGAGCUCAACUCUGGAACUGCCUUUGAUACUGGGUAUCUUGAGUAUGGAAGAGGUGAGUGGAAUUCCGAGUGUAGAGGUGAAAUUCGUAGAUAUUCGGAGGAACACCAGUGGCGAAGGCGGCUCACUGGUCCGUUACUGACGCUGAGGUGCGAAAGCCAGGGGAGCGAACGGGAUUAGAUACCCGAGUAGUCCCUGUCUCUUAUAU
rnacentral:rRNA from 1 species